GAUGAACGCUGGCGGCGUGCCUAAUACAUGCAAGUCGAGCGAACGGACGAGAAGCUUGCUUUUCUGAUGUUAGCGGCGGACGGGUGGGUAACACGUGGAUAACCUACCUAUAAGACUGGGAUAACUUCGGGAAACCGGAGCUAAUACCGGAUAAUAUUUUGAACCGCAUGGUUCAAAAGUGAAAGACGGUCUUGCUGUCACUUAUAGAUGGAUCCGCGCUGCAUUAGCUAGUUGGUAGGGUAACGGCUUACCAAGGCAACGAUGCAUAGCCGACCUGAGAGGGUGAUCGGCCACACUGGAACUGAGACACGGUCCAGACUCCUACGGGAGGCAGCAGUAGGGAAUCUUCCGCAAUGGGCGAAAGCCUGACGGAGCAACGCCGCGUGAGUGAUGAAGGUCUUCGGAUCGUAAAACUCUGUUAUUAGGGAAGAACAUAUGUGUAAGUAACUGUGCACAUCUUGACGGUACCUAAUCAGAAAGCCACGGCUAACUACGUG
rnacentral:rRNA from 1 species